CUUCCAAUUCUGGAUUGUAGUUCAUUCCAAAUAUAGUCAAGUUGACAACCAGGAAUAGCCACUACACAUACUACACACAACUCCCCCCACAUACACAUGCCACACACACACCACACACACCAUACCACACACAACUCCCCCCACAUACAUAUCACACAACUACACACACACACAACCACCACACACACAACACACCACACAGACCACACACCACAAACACACCACACAAACCACACAUCACAAACACAACAUUCACACACAACACACAACACACACACACACACAUACACACUAACCAUGUUUGCCCAUGUCAAAUGCAUCUCCCAUAAAGAAAUUCCUGACAGUACCAGCCAAUGGGACUUCUCCUUUGGAGUUGCCCCAGUAUUUGAAGCUAAAAUCACCUUUGAGGCCAACCCAGCCUUCAAAAUCAUCAAAUUAAAUGACUCUCACGUUCAAAUGCAUCUGACUCCCAGAAAACGUCCAGGUUCCUUUAAGAGGGUUCUGGGUCUAGCUAGCCAUGUCCUCUCUCUUCAGUCUUGUAUUUUCUCCAUUCAAGUCCUUGGUCACCAAGACUCAAUCACUUCUAAGCACUCUUCAGUUCUUCCUUGCUGUUCCUUUUAUUUCUGCCUAGAAGUUUCUUCACCCAACCCAUUGUCUAGCUAGCCAACAGUCAUCCCAUGGGUAUUAGCCUAAGCAUCACUUCUGCAGGGACUCUCUCUGAUGUGCCCCUAACCUGAUACUUGUGUAGAAGUUGAGGUCUCC
rnacentral:lncRNA from 1 species